rnacentral:rRNA from 1 species
AAAGAAAAUUCGAUUCCCUUAGUAGCGGCGAGCGAAACGGGAAGAGCCCAAACCAACAAGCUUGCUUGUUGGGGUUGUAGGACACUCUAUACGGAGUUACAAAGGACGACAUUAGACGAAUCAUCUGGAAAGAUGAAUCAAAGAAGGUAAUAAUCCUGUAGUCGAAAAUGUUGUCUCUCUUGAGUGGAUCCUGAGUACGACGGAGCACGUGAAAUUCCGUCGGAAUCUGGGAGGACCAUCUCCUAAGGCUAAAUACUCUCUAGUGACCGAUAGUGAACCAGUACCGUGAGGGAAAGGUGAAAAGCACCCCGGAAGGGGAGUGAAAUAGAACCUGAAACCGUGUGCUUACAAGUAGUCAGAGCCCGUUAAUGGGUGAUGGCGUGCCUUUUGUAGAAUGAACCGGCGAGUUACGAUUUGAUGCAAGGUUAAGCAGUAAAUGUGGAGCCGUAGCGAAAGCGAGUCUGAAUAGGGCGUUUAGUAUUUGGUCGUAGACCCGAAACCAGGUGAUCUACCCUUGGUCAGGUUGAAGUUCAGGUAACACUGAAUGGAGGACCGAACCGACUUACGUUGAAAAGUGAGCGGAUGAACUGAGGGUAGCGGAGAAAUUCCAAUCGAACCUGGAGAUAGCUGGUUCUCUCCGAAAUAGCUUUAGGGCUAGCCUCAAGUGAUGAUUAUUGGAGGUAGAGCACUGUUUGGACGAGGGGCCCCUCUCGGGUUACCGAAUUCAGACAAACUCCGAAUGCCAAUUAAUUUAACUUGGGAGUCAGAACAUGGGUGAUAAGGUCCGUGUUCGAAAGGGAAACAGCCCAGACCACCAGCUAAGGUCCCAAAAUAUAUGUUAAGUGGAAAAGGAUGUGGCGUUGCCCAGACAACUAGGAUGUUGGCUUAGAAGCAGCCAUCAUUUAAAGAGUGCGUAAUAGCUCACUAGUCGAGUGACACUGCGCCGAAAAUGUACCGGGGCUAAACAUAUUACCGAAGCUGUGGAUUGUCCUUUGGACAAUGGUAGGAGAGCGUUCUAAGGGCGUUGAAGCAUGAUCGUAAGGACAUGUGGAGCGCUUAGAAGUGAGAAUGCCGGUGUGAGUAGCGAAAGACGGGUGAGAAUCCCGUCCACCGAUUGACUAAGGUUUCCAGAGGAAGGCUCGUCCGCUCUGGGUUAGUCGGGUCCUAAGCUGAGGCCGACAGGCGUAGGCGAUGGAUAACAGGUUGAUAUUCCUGUACCACCUAUAAUCGUUUUAAUCGAUGGGGGGACGCAGUAGGAUAGGCGAAGCGUGCGAUUGGAUUGCACGUCUAAGCAGUAAGGCUGAGUAUUAGGCAAAUCCGGUACUCGUUAAGGCUGAGCUGUGAUGGGGAGAAGACAUUGUGUCUUCGAGUCGUUGAUUUCACACUGCCGAGAAAAGCCUCUAGAUAGAAAAUAGGUGCCCGUACCGCAAACCGACACAGGUAGUCAAGAUGAGAAUUCUAAGGUGAGCGAGCGAACUCUCGUUAAGGAACUCGGCAAAAUGACCCCGUAACUUCGGGAGAAGGGGUGCUCUUUAGGGUUAACGCCCAGAAGAGCCGCAGUGAAUAGGCCCAAGCGACUGUUUAUCAAAAACACAGGUCUCUGCUAAACCGUAAGGUGAUGUAUAGGGGCUGACGCCUGCCCGGUGCUGGAAGGUUAAGAGGAGUGGUUAGCUUCUGCGAAGCUACGAAUCGAAGCCCCAGUAAACGGCGGCCGUAACUAUAACGGUCCUAAGGUAGCGAAAUUCCUUGUCGGGUAAGUUCCGACCCGCACGAAAGGCGUAACGAUUUGGGCACUGUCUCAACGAGAGACUCGGUGAAAUCAUAGUACCUGUGAAGAUGCAGGUUACCCGCGACAGGACGGAAAGACCCCGUGGAGCUUUACUGUAGCCUGAUAUUGAAAUUCGGCACAGCUUGUACAGGAUAGGUAGGAGCCUUUGAAACGUGAGCGCUAGCUUACGUGGAGGCGCUGGUGGGAUACUACCCUAGCUGUGUUGGCUUUCUAACCCGCACCACUUAUCGUGGUGGGAGACAGUGUCAGGCGGGCAGUUUGACUGGGGCGGUCGCCUCCUAAAAGGUAACGGAGGCGCUCAAAGGUUCCCUCAGAAUGGUUGGAAAUCAUUCAUAGAG